UUGAAUUUAUAAAUAUUUGAUAUCUGUUCUAAACUCAGGUUCAGACAGUAGGAUCAAAAGGUAAAUAAAUAGCAAAUGGAUGAAAAUGACAACAGGCUCUGGUAAGCAAUGCCCCCUUCAAGGACACAACAAAAGCUCGGUAAAAUCACUUUGAAGUGUCAGAAUGGGACCUGCUUCAUAUACCCCCUCAGUUCUACAGUAUGGGUCGGAGACGUGCCAGCACCAGUGUUAAAUAACAGCACACAAAAACCCUUUACCAGCACUCUGCGCUGAAUGAGGCUUCACAAUGGAGCUGGCCGAGGGAGCCACUGUCACACACCACCCGAGGGAACGGACAAUACCACAGCUGUGCCAUCGCGGAUCAGAGCGGCACUGUUCUCUAACCGUGUGGUGGUUUGGGGAAGCGGCGCUGGAAAAGAAUCACACAUUCCUGAAGAGGGAUAGAGACCCGAGAGAGGAGGUGGUCUGCUCGGGCUGAGAUGGAGGCUUCCAGCUGGCCCUCGCUGACACCCCAGGGCUCUCCUCUGGCCAGGACGCCAGGCAGGGUACUUAGCAGCUGUUAUAGGACACUUGGAGUUUUCUAUAAAGCCUGUGUAUCUAAAUCCGGGGAUGGACGGUCAGACGUCUACAUUUAUAAGUAUAUUGGAAUCAGGGAAGCCACAGCUUAAUUUUCCAUCACCAAGCCAGGCACUUCCGUGUCUCCUCUGCCUUAUCCGGUGUGCGAAAAGGAAGCAGCCUGCUCGAACAGAGAGGAGGGUAAAUGAGGGUCCCGGAGCUGCCGCUCAUACACACACACCCCCCCUCCGGGAGAGAGCUCCAGUGCUCCAAGUGCGUGUAAAAUUAAUCACCACAAUUCUGCUCAAACAAUGCAGCCACUGACAUGACAAUUUCUUCCAGAAUGCCAUCUUAAUCUCCACCCAGCACAAAAAUUACAGGAAGAGGGAAAAAACUAUUUACAAAAAUCCUGUGUUUAUGCAAUUCACUAAAUGCCAUUUUCAUAGCUGCUUUUUCCCCACAAAGUCAUUAGGCACACACCAGUGAUAUAUAAAUGUAGCUGCAUAGAUUCCAUUAGCUAAUUCUGGGUGAAUUGUAAUUGCCGAGUCUGAUCUGUCUCCGUGCAUGGUGCCUUAUUAAGACUGCCUGUGGUGGCUGAGGAAUGUAAUAUU